CUGAGCUGGUGGCAGUUGUGUCACCAAGCUGCGUGUCCCAAUUGGUUCCCAGCUCACAGCAGCCUUCAGCUUCAGCCACUGCAGUGAGGACUGACGUCUCUGCGUCAGCCCAGAGAAAGAACAAGGCUGGGCUUCUUUGUGGCAGCUGGCACUGUCUGUGUUUCAAGCUCUCGGGGGUGCCAUUUGCACUGGGAGGGUUGUGAAUUGAUUGGCGUACUUCAAAACUUCACAAGACUGGAAAACUUGGAAGGAUCCCUGUUCCCUUUAAAGAGCAGGCUUCAAAUUCUCAAGUGAGAGUGUGCCUUUCAGGCCAUCUUUGACAGCCUUUGCUAGCAGGACAGUUUACUUGCAAAGGGAAAGCUACACGGAGGCCAGCAUUGACUGAGAGUUGCCUUUCCUUGCCAGAUAUCCAUGUGAUCUACCUGGCCAGAAGGGCUGCCCUGCGUGGGAAGAAGGAUCAGAGGGAGAGCCUGUGACCAUCGGGCAGGUGGCAUCCCUCUGUUUAUAAAUAUAGUUAGAGAUUUUUUUAUUAUUAUUUAUUUAUCGAUAUAGUUAUAAGUAGAGAUUGAUAGAAUUGUAUUUAUAGGUGUAUCUAUUUAUACAUCUGUAGAGUUUGUAUGUAUAGUUAUGGAUGCAAUAGGAUUUUAUUUCUAUGUAUACAGUUACAUUUAUAGAUUUUCGAAUUUACAUUUAUAGUUGUAGAGAGUAACAUUUAUAUGCACACACAGUUCCAUUUCUAAAUGUGCAUAGUUCUUUAGUUAGAGCUCUAUGGAUGUAGAGGUCCAUAGAUUGAGCUGUGUAGGCCUAGGCUGCAUUUUUGCCUCUUUCCCCCUUGGCUGCCUUUUUCAUCUCUUGUUUUUCCCGCUGUGCCCCUUGUGUCCCCCUGUGCUGGGUCCGAGCUGGGGCCGGGCCAGGCGGAGCAGCAGUUGCAGCCCUGGCUGUCCCUGGAGCGGUGGGAGCUGCCGCUGGCCCCAGGCACUGUCCUGUGAGGAGCUGCUGAAGGACGCUGAGACUGAGGGGGCUGAGGAGGCGCUGAUGCUGAAGGGACCUUGCAAACCUUGAGCUGUCCUGAAGAGCUUGAGGACAGGCAGACACUGAGAGGAGCCAGCAGGGAGAAGCUGAAGGCCUGGAGCAAGAG